UAAGGAAUAUUGCUCAAUGGGAGAAAUCCUGAAGCAGCAACGCCGCGUGGAGGAUGAAGGGUCUAUGACUUGUAAACUCCUGUAAAGAAGGAAAAAAUUCCCAUUUGAUGGGAGAUGAUGGUACUUCUGGAGUAAGCCCCGGCUAACUACGUGCCAGCAGCCGCGGUAAUACGUAGGGGGCAAGCGUUGUCCGGAUUUACUGGGUGUAAAGGGUGCUCAGGCGGAUUUGUAAGUCAGAGGUGAAAUCUUACAGCUUAACUGUGAAACUGCCUUUGAUACUGCAAGCCUAGAGUAUGGAAGAGAGUGAUUGAAUAUCUGGUGUAGCAGUGAAAUGCGUAGAUAUCAGAUAGAACACCAAUGGCGAAGGCAGUCACUUGGUCCAUUACUGACGCUAAAGCACGAAAGCGUGGGUAGCAAACA
rnacentral:rRNA from 1 species